GUAGGUUCUUGGCACUUCUCUGCAAAUAGGUAAAAGGGAAUGGCAGAUAUUCAAGCUUAGGGAGCAAGCAGCAAGGACAGAGCCUUCCCCGUCUCUGUGUGUUGAAGUCAGCAGAUAGCACACCUGCUGCUGCGUGAGUUCCUUCUGCCAAGCAGAGCAGCACAGCUGCAAGACACCCUGCUUCUGGCUCUGAGCUUUGCUUGUCUUCAGGGAUGGAGCCCCUCCCAAGGCAAGUUCAACUGGGUUCUUUGGCAGCCGAAGUCUACACGGACCCUGCAGGGAGCGGUGGAGAAAAAUCCUAGAGGCUACCUGCAUUCCUUGGCUUUUAUCCCCAAUCUUCCAUCUUCGGAGCCAGCAACAAUAUAUUGAUCAUGAGGAGAGGGCUCACCCCUCACCCGGAGAAGUAGUUGGGGAAGCAAUAUGCGGAAACAAAGCCAUGAAUCUGACAAGAAAUGUACUUAAGAUUGUAUAUAUGGAGAUGAAUACCCAUUGUCCUUUGCACUUUCUGGAUGAUAAAUUAGAAAAGAAAAAUCCAAAGAAUGAAGUUGUGCUAUUUGUCCUCACUUCUGAUUUGGGAAACUAGAGGAAAUUAAGAUGGGAAAAGACCAUGUGAGGACACAGUGAGAAGGAGACCAUAUGCAAAGCAGGAAGGAAGAUCUCACUGGAACCAAAAACCAGCCCUGCUGGCACCCUGAUCUUGGACUUCUAGCCUUUCUCAGAACUGUGAGAAAAUAAAUUUCUGAUGUUUCAGCCACUCAGCCUGUGGUCGUUCGUUAUGCAACCCUAGCAGACAAACAGGGACCUAGCUUAAGAACUGGUUAAAAAUGAGGCCAGUGAGGAAUUUGAUACUCUAUGGUUGGGAAAGUUUGAUUUAUUCUAAGUGCAAUGGAAUGGAGCUGGGGAUAUAAAUUUUGGAUUUACUGGCAGGUGAAACAUAUUUUAAAAUAGACUAAAAUUAAAUUUCCUAAGGACAGAAUGUAGACAGAAAAGAAUCAAGGUUUUAUGACCAAGAUCCAAGUCACUCCAAUAUUUAGAGUUCUCCCAAGCAUUUAAAGAAGGCUUACACUGAUUCUAUGUAGCAUCUUCCAAAAAAUAGAAAUUUUUCACGGCAUCUUUCCAAGUCAUUAUAUGAGGCCAAAAUUACCUUGAUAUUUUAACCAAAGACAGUACGAGAGAAAAAGCUAUAGAUCAAUAUCUCACAUGAACUUAGACAUAACAUUUCUAAACAAAAUAUUAGCAACUUGAAUCCAGAAAUAUGUAAAAAAGAAUUAUGCAACAUAGCCAAGUGGGAUCUAUUCCAGGUAUGCAAUGCUUUUAAAUGUUUGAAAAAAAGUCAAUAUAAUCUACCAUAUUAACAGGCUAAUCACAUGAUCAUAUCAGUUGAUGAAGAUCAAAUCUAUGACAAAAUUUAACACCUAUUUAUAAUUUUAAAGAACCUCUCUAAAAAUAAAAAAUAGAAGGAAAUAUCCUCAAAUUGAUAAAGAUCAUUUACAGAAAACACAAAAGCUAGCAUUACACUUAAUGGUGAGAAUCUGAAUUAGUUCCCCCUAAGAUCAGGACCAGGCAAAGAUGUUUGCUAUCAUCACUCUCAUUCCAUAUAGUGCUGGAAGUUCUCACUGGUGCAAUAAGGCACACAGUGGAAAUAAAGACACUGAAAUUUGUGUUAGUUAAUUUUGUGUUGCUAUAACGGAAUGCCACAGAAUGGAUAAUUUAUUAAGAAAAUUGUUUAUUUCUUACAGUUUUGGAGGCUCAGAAGUUCAAGGUGCAGGGGCCCACAUCUGGUGAGGGCCUUCUUGCUGUAUCAUCCCAUGGCAGAAGGCAAAAGGGCAAGAGUACAAGAUAGAAAGAGAAAGAGGGAUGGGGGAAGGUUGAUAUGAGGGAGCCAAACUCAUCCUUUUUAUCCAGAGUCCACUCCUGAGAUAAUUAAGUCACUUCCGCAAUACAUCAUUAAUCCAUUCAGAGCCCUCAUGACCUAAUCACCUUUUAAAGGUUCCACUUAACGCUGUUGCACUGGGGAUUAAGUUUCCAAUACAAAAACUUUGGGGGAUGCAUUCAAACUAUAGCCAGUUUGAAUGGAAAAAAAUUUAACUGUUUCUAUUUCAAAUGACCUAAUUGUAUACAUAGAAAAUUCCAGGCAAUCUUUUAAAAACUCCCAGAACUAAUGUAUAAGUUUAGCAAGAUCAUAGGAUCCAAGACCAACACACAAAAAUCAAUCAUAUUUUUAUACGCUAGCAAUGAAUAUGUGGAAAACACAAUUAAGAAUACAAGACUAUUUACAAUUAUUUCAAAAAAGAGAGAAAUAAUUAGAUACAAAUCUAAUGUACACAUAGGUCCUCUAUGCCAAAAAUGACAGAACCCAAAGGAACAAAUGCAAAGGACCUUUAAAUAAAUGGAGAGAUGACUUUGUAAUGGAUAGAAAGAUUCAACAUAAUAAAGAUGUCAAUUCUCUCCAACUUCAUCAACAGGGGCAAUUCAAUUCAUAUCAAAAUUCCAAAAAAAUUUUUUUGCAGAUAUAGUAAAAUUUAUUUUAAAAUUUAUAUCUCAAGGCACAGGCCAUGGACUAAGUAAAAUUAUUUUGAAAUUGAAUAAAGUUGGGUAGAUUAUUAUAUCCAAUGUUAAGACUUAAUAUAUGGCUACAAUAAUCAAGAGAGUGUGAUAUUGGUUGGGGGAAUAGACUCAUAGAUCAAUGGAACAGAAGAGAUAACCCGAAACUAAACAACACAAAUAUGCCCAGCUGAUUUUUGCAAAGGUUAUAAAAGCGGUUCAGUGGAAGAACAGUUCUUUCAACAGAUGAUGUUAAAGCAAUUAGAUGUCCAAGGGCAAAUAAUUGAGUCUCAACCUAAACCUAAUACUUCAUUCAAAAAUUAAUUCAAAGUGUAUUAUAGAUUUAAAUAUAAAUGUAAAACUAAAAAACUUUAGCAUAAAACAAAGAAAAAUUUUAGGAAGUAGGGCUAGAUGAGAAGAUCUUAGAUAUGACACCAAAAGCACAACUCAUAAGAGAAUAUAAUUACUCUAUUGGACUUCAUAAAAAUUAAAAACUUUUGCUCUGUGAAAGACUACAUUUAGAGAAUGAAAAGUUAAUCUAAAGUUAAUCUACAGACUAGAGGAAAAUAUUUGCAAAUCACAAGAUUCAACAUAGGGCUUCUACUUAGAAUAUAUAAAGAGCUCUCAAGCUGAACAUUAAAAGAAAAAUAAGCAGGCUGGUCUGAAGAUAGCGAAGUAUCUCAACUGAUUGUUCACAGUUCGUUAAGGAUCUUACUCUUUGUUCUACAAUUCCCCCCUUCUCACUACUGCACUUGACUAAUAAAAAAGCAAUUAAAUUAGAAAAUUUAUAAACAAAAUUAACAAAAGAUUUUUAACUGGGGAGAGAUGAUAUCUCAUUUUAGUUUUGAUUUGCUUUUCUCUGAUAAUCAAUGAUGUUGAAUGCGUUUUCACAUGCCUGUUUGACAUUUGUAUGUCUUCUUUUGGGCAACGUCUAUUCAAAUCUUUUGCCCAUUUUUUAAAUCAAAUUAUUAGAUUUUUUCCUGUAAAAUUGUUUGAGCUCCUUAUAUAUUCUAAUUAUUAAUCCCUCAUCAGGUGGGUAGUUUGCAAAUAAUUUCUCCCACUCUGCACAUUGUCUCUUCACUUUGUUUAUUGUUCCCUUCAUUCUGCAGAAGCUUUUAAACUUGAUUUGACCCCACUUGUCCAUAUCCAAAAGACAGGCAAUAACAAAUGCUGGUGAGGAUGUGGAGAAAAGUGAAUGCUUGUACACUGUUUGUGGGAAUAUAAAUUAGUAUAACCACUCUGAAGAAUAGUUUGGAGGUUCCUCGAAAAAUUAAAAAUAGAGCUACCAUAUGAUCCAGCAAUACCAUUCCUAGGUAUAUGACCAAUAGAAGGGAAAUCAAUAUAUUGAAGAGAUACCUGCACUCCCAUGUUAGCUGAAACACCGUUCAUAAUAGCCAAGAUUUGGAAGCAAUCUAAGUGUCCAUCAAUAGAUGAAUGGAUAAAGAAAGUGUGGUACUUAUACACAAUGGAGAAUUAUUUAGCCACGGAAAAGCAUGAGAUCCUGUCAUUUGCAACAACAUGGAUGGAACCGGAGAUCAUUAUGUUAAGUGAAAUAAGCCAGGCACAGAAAGACAAAGAUCACAUGUUCUCACUUAUUUGUGGGAGCUAAAAUUUAAAACGAUUGAACUCGUAUACAUAGAGUGUAGAGGAUGGUUACCAGAGGCUGGGAAGGGUAGUUGGGGUUGAUAGGGAAGAUGAAAAUAGCUAAUGGGUUAAAAAAAAUGAAAGAAUGAAUAAUACCUGGUAGUUGAUAGCAAAACAGGGUUACUAUAGUCAAAAUAAUUUAAUUGUAUAUUUUCAAAUAACUAAAAGAAUGUAAUUGGAUUGUUUGUAACACAAAGGAUAAAUGCUUAAGGAGAUGAAUACCCCAUUUACCCUGAUGUGAUUAUUAUAUGCAUUGCAUACCUGUCAUCUGGAUGUCCAAGCAGAAGUUUGCUGCAGAGGUGGGGCCUCAUGAAGAACCUCUGCUAGGGCAGUGUGGAAGAGAAAUGUGGGGUUGGAUGCCCCAGAGUCCCCACUGGGGCACUGCCUAGUAGAGCUGUGAGAAGAGAGCCACCAUCCUCCAUACUCCAGAACGAUAGAUCCACCAACAGCUUGCACUAUGCGCCUGGAAAAGCUGCAGACAUUCAACACUAGCCCCUGAAAGCAGCCAGGAUGGGGGCUGUAUCCUGCAAAGCCACAGGGGAGGAGCUGCCCGAGGCUGUGGGAGCUCACCUCUUGUAUCAGCAUGACCUGGAUAUGAGACAUGAAGUCAAAGGAGAUCAUUUUGGAGCUUUAAGAUUUAAUGAUUGCCCCUUGGGAUUACAGACUUGCAUGGAGUCUUAGCCCUUUUGUUUUGGCCAAUUCCUCCCAUUUGGAACAGGUAUAUUUACCCACUGCCUGUACCCCCAUUAUAUCUAGGAAGUAACUCACUUGCUUUUGAUUUUACAGACUCAUAAGUGGAAGGGACUUGCUUUGUCUCUGAUGAUACUUUGGACUGUGAACUUUUGAGUUAAUACUGAAAUGAGUUAAGACUUUGGGGGACUGUUGGGAAGGCAUGAUUGCUUUUGAAAUGUGAGAACAUGAGAUUUGGGAGGGGCCAGGGGCUGAAUGAUAUGGUUUGGUUGUGUCCCCACCCAAAUCUCACCUUAAAUUGUAAUAAUCCCCAUGUGUCAAGGGUGGGGCCAGGUGGAGAUAACUGGAUCAUGGGGGCGGUUUUCCCCAUACUGUUCUCAUGGUAGUGAAUAAGUCUUACGAGUCUGAUGGUUUUAUAAAUAAGACUUCCCCAUACAAGCUCUCUUUUGCCUGCCACCAUGUAAGAUGUGACUUUACUCCUCAUUUGCCUUCCGCUAUGAUUAUGAGGGCUCCCUAGCUAUGUGGACCUGUGAGUCCAUUAAACCUCUUUCCUUAAUAAAUUACCCAGUCUUGGGUGUGUCUUUAUUAGCAGUGUUUGAACAGACAAAUAUACAA
rnacentral:lncRNA from 10 species